rnacentral:rRNA from 1 species
AGAGUUUGAUCAUGGCUCAGAACGUACGCUGGCGGCACGCCUAACACAUGCAAGUCGAACGAAGUAGCAAUACUUAGUGGCAGACGGGUGAGUAACAUGUAGGUAUCUGCCCUUUGGCCUGGAAUAACACGAGGAAACUUGUGCUAAUACCAGAUAAGUCUUUACGGAGAAAGCUUUAUGCACCAUUGGAUGAGCCUGCACUUGAUUAGUUUGUUGGUGGGGUAAUGGCCUACCAAGACUUUGAUCAAUAGCUGAUUUGAGAGGAUGAUCAGCCACAUUGGGACUGAGACACGGCCCAAACUCCUACGGGAGGCAGCAGUGGGGAAUCUUGCACAAUGGAGGAAACUCUGAUGCAGCGAUGCCGCGUGAGUGAAGAAGGCCCUUGGGUUGUAAAGCUCUUUCGUCGGGGAAGAAAAUGACUGUACCCGAAUAAGAAGGUCCGGCUAACUUCGUGCCAGCAGCCGCGGUAAUACGAAGGGACCUAGCGUAGUUCGGAAUUACUGGGCUUAAAGAGUUCGUAGGUGGUUGAAAAAGUUGGUGGUGAAAUCCCAGAGCUUAACUCUGGAACUGCCAUCAAAACUUUUCAGCUAGAGUAUGAUAGAGGAAAGCAGAAUUUCUAGUGUAGAGGUGAAAUUCGUAGAUAUUAGAAAGAAUACCAAUUGCGAAGGCAGCUUUCUGGAUCAUUACUGACACUGAGGAACGAAAGCAUGGGUAGCGAAGAGGAUUAGAUACCCUCGUAGUCCAUGCCGUAAACGAUGUGUGUUAGACGUUGGAAAUUUAUUUUCAGUGUCGCAGCAAAAGCGAUAAACACACCGCCUGGGGAGUACGACCGCAAGGUUAAAACUCAAAUGAAUUGACGGGGACCCGCACAA